rnacentral:rRNA from 1 species
GAUGAACGCUAGCUACAGGCCUAACACAUGCAAGUCGAGGGACCGGCGCACGGGUGAGUAAUACGUAUCCAACCUGCCCUUUACUCGGGGAUAGCCUUUCGAAAGAAAGAUUAAUACCCGAUAUAAAGGAUGGGUUUGCGUUCCAUUAGGUUGUUGGUGAGGUAACGGCCCACCAAGCCUUCGAUGGAUAGGGGUUCUGAGAGGAAGGUCCCCCACAUUUGAACUGAGGCACAGUCCAAACUCCGACGGGAGGCAGGAGUGAGGAAUAUUAGUCAAUGAGCGUUAGCCUGAACCAGCCAAGUAGCGUGAAGGAUGAAGGCUUAUGAGUCGUAAACUUCUUUUGUAUAAGAAUAUGUAUUAUAUGAAUAAGGAUCGGCUAACUCCGUGCCAGCAGCCGCGGUAAUUC